AACGAACGCUGGCGGCAGGCUUAACACAUGCAAGUCGAACGGGCGUAGCAAUACGUCAGUGGCAGACGGGUGGGUAACACGUGGGAACCUUCCUAGGGGUACGGAACAACUCAGGGAAACUUGAGCUAAUACCGUAUACGUCCGUGAGGAGAAAGAUUUAUCGCCCUUAGACGGGCCCGCGUCGGAGUAGCUAGUUGGUGGGGUAACGGCCUACCAAGGCGACGAUCCGUAGCUGAUCUUGGAGGAUGAUCAGCCACACUGGGACUGAGACACGGACCAGACUCCUACGGGAGGCAGCAGUGGGGAAUCUUGGACAAUGGGCGCAAGCCUGAUCCAGCCAUGCCGCGUGAGUGAAGAAGGCCUUAGGGUUGUAAAGCUCUUUUGCCAGGGACGAUAAUGACGGUACCUGGAGAAUAAGCCCCGGCAAACUUCGUGCCAGCAGCCGCAGUAAGAC
rnacentral:rRNA from 1 species